rnacentral:sRNA from 1 species
CUUGGUGUUGUAGCGGGUCGGGUCGUCUCCGAACUCGGCGAGCACCCGGGCAGCGAGAACCUGUCCCAGCCCCGGUUGG